rnacentral:lncRNA from 1 species
UGAGGAUAAUAACAUGAUAUUAUUAAUAUAAUCUUCGAUUACAUGGUUUGCUUGUUCAUAUUACAGAAGUCAUUAUGACUUAAUACAAAUAACAAGUACUUAACAUGAAAACCUAAUCUACGCUUCUUCUUUACGUUCAUGAUCUUCUUAACGUUCUUCUUUAACUGCAAAUAAAGUUUUAUUCACAAGAAUGAGCACGACGGCUCAACUAGUCUAUCUAAUAACACAUAGACAGUUUAUGCUUUUAUAUAAAUUUAAACAUGCUUGACUUGACAUAACUUUCAGUUACGAAUCAUGUUAACUCAUGCUUAAUGAUAGAACAUAAUCAUAACAUAACAUAUCAUUAAACACUUGACAUUUAAUUAUUAUAUCCUACUUAAAAUCACAUAAGGCUUUCAUACAUAUACUUUCACAUAUCAACUAUCACAUAUGAUCUUAGAAAUAGUUGCACAUAGGUUUAAGAAAUAAAAUUUACCUUUACCGUUUAUGUUAAUUUUGCGUCUCUCGAUCAACCUAUAUUAUUUAUUUAUGAGAUCGACAUACAAUUCAAUCACCACAUGACUCUUACUCUAGUUCACCUUAACUAGCCUUUAAACAUGAACCUAACUUUGUAUUUAUAACUUUUACGAUAAUUGAUUUCAAAACUUGUUUAAUUUAUAACUAAUUCAAAUCAACUUGGAAUUGGCUCAUCUUUGGACAGUGACCUAUGUAUAACAUGGUCUAACUACCCUCAUAAGUGGCACGAACCCCAAAAUUCCCGUGCUCAAAAUGUUCUGGACAACCCUCUUUUUACUAUUCACUAGCUGAAUAUUUUCAGCAGUGCCUUGGCUCACUAUUUAAUUCAUAAUUAAUUCAUAUUAAUGAAUUUUUGAGUGAUUCUUUCGCCCAUGUCUUUGUAACUUCCCCAUCUACAUUUGCUUUGUAUUUCAUAACCAAAUUCCAAACAUGAUUUUAUAUAACUUUUACAAUAACAGUUCAGAUUAGGAGUUUCUCAUUUCAUACUUUCAAUCUCUCUAAUUAGUUACCACUUGAGUUAAUUAGCUUGUUUUCAUCUUUUAUGACUUAAUAACAUUGUAUUACAUAAUCAUAAACCUAAACAUGUAUUAUUUCAUGAAUUCUACUCGAGAACAUAAGAACAUAAAUUAAAUUUAUAACAACAUACCUCUUGAAGUGCUAGCUUUUCGAUACUUAAAAACGCAAGACUUUAGCUUUCUUUUCUUCUCUCAAUUACCAAUAUAACUCUCUCUUAUGAUUACUCUAGCCUCUUUUGCUUUUAAAUUAC